rnacentral:rRNA from 1 species
UACGUAGGGAGCAAGCGUUGUCCGGAAUCAUUGGGCGAUAAAGCGCGUGCAGGCGGUUCCUUAAGUCUGAUGUCGGAAAGCCCCCGGCUCAACCGGGGGAGGGUCAUUGGAAACUGGGGAACUUGAGUGCAGGAGAGGAAAGCGGAAUUCCACGUGGUAGCGGUGAAAUGCGUAGAUAUGAUGGAGGAACACCAGUGGCGAAGG